rnacentral:rRNA from 6 species
GGCGAGUGAACAGGGAAAAGCCCAAAUUUGUAAUCUGGCACUUUUUACAAGUGUCCGAGUUGUAAUUUGUAGAGCUGUUAUCCGUACUGGACCAUGUACAAGUCUGUUGAAAAGCAGCAUCAUUGAAGGUGAAAAUCCUGUAGAUGAUAUGGACUACCAGUAUAUUUGUGAUACGGUUUCUAAGAGUCGAGUUGUUUGGGAAUGCAGCUCAAAGUGGGUGGUAAAUUCCAUCUAAGGCUAAAUAUAAGUGAGAGACCGAUAGCAAACAAGUACCGUGAGGGAAAGAUGAAAAGAACUUUGAAAAUAGAGUUAACAGUACGUGAAAUUGCUGAAAGGGAAACGUUUGAAGUUAGUUUUGUAUUCGUUGGAUCAGCUUCGCAAGGAGUGUAUUCUGAUGAUAAGCAAGUCAACAUCAGUCUAUGAGUGUUGGAUAAGGGUUUUGAGAAUGUAGCAAUUUAAUUGUGUUAUAGCUUGAGACUUGGAUACAAUGCUUUGGAUUGAGGAACGCGUAGUAAGCUUUGAGCGGAUUCGAAAGGAUCUCCUUACUAUGGAUGUUGGUGAAAUAACUUU